UACGUAGGGUCCGAGCGUUGUCCGGAAUUAUUGGGCGUAAAGGGCUCGUAGGCGGUUUGUCGCGUCGGGAGUGAAAACACCGGGCUUAACUCGGUGCUUGCUUUCGAUACGGGCAGACUAGAGGUAUGCAGGGGAGAACGGAAUUCCUGGUGUAGCGGUGAAAUGCGCAGAUAUCAGGAGGAACACCGGUGGCGAAGGCGGUUCUCUGGGCAUUACCUGACGCUGAGGAGCGAAAGUGUGGGGAGCGAACAGG
rnacentral:rRNA from 1 species